rnacentral:rRNA from 1 species
AUACGAACCGUACGAACGUUAUUCGGAAUCACUGGGCUUAAAGAGUGCGUAGGCGGCUUGGAAAGUUGGGUGUGAAAUCCCUCGGCUCAACCGAGGAAUUGCGCUCAAAACUUCCAAGCUUGAGGGAGAUAGAGGUAAGCGGAACUAAUGGUGGAGCGGUGAAAUGCGUUGAUAUCAUUAGGAACACCUGAGGCGAAAGCGGCUCACUGGGUCUCUACUGACGCUGAGGCACGAAAGCUAGGGGAGCGAACGGGAUUAGAUACCCCGGUAGUCC